UACGUAGGGGGCAAGCGUUGUCCGGAAUUAUUGGGCGUAAAGAGCGUGUAGGCGGCCAGAUAAGUCCGCUGUGAAAUCUCGAGGCUCAACUUCGAGCUGUCGGUGGAAACUAUCUGGCUAGAGUCCGGAAGAGGAGAAUGGAAUUCCUGGUGUAGCGGUGAAAUGCGCAGAUAUCAGGAAGAACACCCGUGGCGAAGGCGGGUCUCUGGGCAGUAACUGACGCUGAGGAGCGAAAGCGUGGGGAGCGAACAGG
rnacentral:rRNA from 1 species